rnacentral:lncRNA from 1 species
AUCUUAUUCCUGGUUACAUGUUAUGUUCCAUUUCCCCAGGUUACUUCACCCCUGAGGGCUCGAUUCAGAAUAGAGAUUGAGAAUCACGGAUCUAGCUGAACCAUCCAACUUUCAAAGAUGAAUAAACUGAGGACCCAGAGGUGAAGUGAUUUUUCCACAGUCCCACCAACAGAUAUGGCCAAACCAGGGAUCCUUUUGCAUUGUGAGACUCUAUUUGACUGAACUGCAAAGAAGAUCAUCUGAUGUCACAGUUGAAUCUAUCCAUGGACCAUAUCAUUUGAGUGAUAUUAUGACCAGUCAUCAGGCCUCUCCAGUUCUCUGGGUUCUACUCACACCCUCUAUGCCAGUAUCACAGAAGUAAUGGCACUCUAUGAGAUUACGACUCUAUCUUAUUCCCUAAAGGUGAGCAACCAGAGGUGGGCUUGUGCUUUUCCUUCCUGUGUUCUCAGGAGCUAGCAUAGGGAGUGACAGAGGAGAAUGCACAGAAGUUGCCUGUUGAAUGUUGAAUUAGUACCAGGAGCAUAAUGAAUAUAUCAUAUGUUGAAUGAUAAAAAAAUUGAAAAUGUCUUUGGGAAGACAAGAAAGCCUAAGUUUUCCAAGUG